rnacentral:rRNA from 1 species
AAUCAACGCUGGCGGCGUGCCUCAGACAUGCAAGUCGAACGAUUAAACUUUCCUUCGGGAAAGAUAUAAAGUGGCGCACGGGUGAGUAACACGUAGGUAAUGUACCUUUGGGUGGGGAAUAACCAUCGGAAACGAUGGCUAAUACCGCAUAAUGCAGCGGCAUCGCAAGAUGACAGUUGUUAAAGAUUUAUCGCCUAAAGAGCAGCCUGCGGCAGAUUAGGUAGNGGUAAGGUAAUGGCUUACCAAGCCUGCGAUCUGUAACCGACCUGAGAGGGUGGUCGGUCACACUGACACUGGAUAACGGGUCAGACUCCUACGGGAGGCAGCAGUCGGGAAUUUUGGGCAAUGGGCGAAAGCCUGACCCAGCAACGCCGCGUGAAGGACGAAGUCUUUCGGGAUGUAAACUUCGUAAGAAUAGGAAGAAUAAAUGACGGUACUAUUUGUAAGGUCCGGCUAACU